rnacentral:rRNA from 1 species
GGCCUACCAUGGUGGUAACGGGUAACGGGGUGUUAGGGCACGACACCGGAGAGGGAGCCUGAGAAACGGCUACCACAUCCAAGGAUGGCAGCAGGCGCGCAAAUUACCCAAUCCCGACACGGGGAGGUAGUGACAAUAAAUAACAAUACGGGGUUCUUUAGGAUCUCGUAAUUGGAAUGAGUACAAUUUAAAUCUCUUAACGAGGAACAAUCGGAGGGCAAGUCUGGUGCCAGCAGCCGCGGUAAUUCCAGCUCCAAUAGCGUAUAUUAAAGUUGUUGCAGUUAAAAAGCUCGUAGUUGAAUUUCGGGAUCAAUUUAUUGGUCGUGCUAUUGUACGUACUGGUAUUAUUGAUUCCUACCUUCUGACGAACCAUGAUGUCAUUAAUUUGGUGUCUUGGGGAAUCAGGACUGUUACUUUGAAAAAAUUAGAGUGUUUAAAGCAGGCUCACGCUUGAAUACAUUAGCAUGGAAUAACGAAAUAGGACGUUUGAUUCUAUUUUGUUGGUUUCUAGGAUCGACGUAAUGAUUAAUAGGGAUAGUUGGGGGCAUUAGUAUUCAAUUGUCAGAGGUGAAAUUCUUGGAUUUAUUGAAGACUAACUACUGCGAAAGCAUUUGCCAAGGAUGUUUUCAUUAAUCAAGAACGAAAGUUAGGGGAUCGAAGACGAUCAGAUACCGUCGUAGUCUUAACCAUAAACUAUGCCGACUAGGGAUCGGAUGAUGUUAAUUUUUUAAUGACUCAUUCGGCGCCUUACG